rnacentral:rRNA from 1 species
CGGCGGACGGGUGAGUAACGCGUGGGUAACCUGCCUCAUACAGGGGGAUAACAGUUGGAAACGGCUGCUAAUGCCGCAUAAGCGCACAGUACCGCAUGGUACGGUGUGAAAAACUCCGGUGGUAUGAGAUGGACCCGCGUCUGAUUAGGUAGUUGGUGGGGUAACGGCCUACCAAGCCGACGAUCAGUAGCCGACCUGAGAGGGUGACCGGCCACAUUGGGACUGAGACACGGCCCAA